rnacentral:rRNA from 1 species
AGCGAACGCUGGCGGCAGGCCUAACACAUGCAAGUCCAACGAAGUCUUCGGACUUAGUGGCGGACGGGUGAGUAACACGUGGGAACGUGCCUUUAGGUUCGGAAUAACUCAGGGAAGCUUGUGCUAAUACCGAAUGUGCCCUUCGGGGGAAAGAUUUAUCGCCUUUAGAGCGGCCCGCGUCUGAUUAGCUAGUUGGUGAGGUAAAGGCUCACCAAGGCUACGAUCAGUAGCUGGUCUGAGAGGAUGACCAGCCACAUUGGGACUGAGACACGGCCCAAACGCCUGCGGGAGGCAGCAGUGGGGAAUCUUGGGCAAUGGGCGAAAGCCUGACGCAGCCAUGCCGCGUGGAUGAUGAAGGUCUUAGGAUUGUAAAAUCCUUUCACCGGUGAAGAUAAUGACUGUAGCCGGAGAAGAAGCCCCGGCUAACUUCGUGCCAGCAGCCGCCGUAACAC